GUCUACGGCCAUGCCGCCCUGAACAAGCCCGAUGUCUGAUCGCGGAAGCUAAGCAGGGUCGGGCCUGGUUAGUACUUGGAUGGGAGACUACCUAGGAAGACCAGGUGCUGUAAUAA
rnacentral:rRNA from 1 species